rnacentral:rRNA from 1 species
UAGUAACUGCGAGUGAAGAGGGAAAAGCUCAAAUUUAAAAUCUGGCGGGCUCUGCUCGUCCGAGUUGUAAUCUGGAGAAGCGUUUUCCGCGUCGGACCGUGCACAAGUCUCCUGGAACGGAGCGUCAUAGAGGGUGAGAAUCCCGUCCAUGGCACGGAGCGCCGAUGCUUUGUGAUACGUUUUCAAAGAGUCGAGUUGUUUGGGAAUGCAGCUCAAAACGGGUGGUAAAUUCCAUCUAAAGCUAAAUAUUGGCGAGAGACCGAUAGCGAACAAGUACCGUGAGGGAAAGAUGAAAAGCACUUUGGAAAGAGAGUUAAACAGUACGUGAAAUUGUUGAAAGGGAAACGCUUGAAGUCAGUCGCGUCCGACGGAACUCAGCCUUGCUUCGGCCUGGUGUACUUUCUGUCGGACGGGUCAACAUCAGUUUUGACCGGUGGAGAAAGGUAGGGGGAAUGUAGCGCCGUUUCGGCGGCGUGUUAUAGCCCCUUGCUGUAUGCAUCGGUCGGGACUGAGGACCGCAGCACGCCUUUUUGGCCGGGGGUUCGCCCUACGUACCGUGCUUAGGAUGUUGGCAUAAUGGCUUUAAGCGACCCGUCUUGAAACACGGACCAAGGAGUCCAACAUGCUUGCGAGUGUUCGGGUGGAAAACCCUUGCGCGUAAUGAAAGUAACAGUUGGGAACCUCCGCAAGGGGGUGCACCGACGCCCGGCCCUGAAGUUCUCUGACGGUGCUGCGGUAGAGCAAGUAUGCUGGGACCCGAAAGAUGGUGAACUAUGCCUGAAUAGGGCGAAGCCAGAGGAAACUCUGGUGGAGGCUCGUAGCGAUUCUGACGUGCAAAUCGAUCGUC